UACGAAGGGGGCUAGCGUUGUUCGGAAUUACUGGGCGUAAAGCGCACGUAGGCGGAUUUGUAAGUCAGGGGUGAAAUCCCGGGGCUCAACCUCGGAACUGCCUUUGAUACUGCAAGUCUCGAGUCCGAUAGAGGUGAGUGGAAUUCCUAGUGUAGAGGUGAAAUUCGUAGAUAUAGGAAGAACACCAGUGGCGAAGGCGGAGCAUCACCUGGAGUCGGGUAAUGGCGCUGACGGUG
rnacentral:rRNA from 1 species